CGCGUCCACACGUCUCACUUCUGGAGCCUCAGGUUUCUCCCCUGGAAGACGGCGUGAGUCAGCAACAAGGCAGGAUUCUCAAGGGAACUGGAUUCCUUCGAUGGGGCAGUACUGUGUGCAUGGCUCUUCCUGACGCAGGGAUGGAACCUGCAUUUCCUGCAUUGCAGGCGGAUUCUUUACCACUUGAGCAACCUGGAAAGCCCACGUAUCCAUGUACACACGGGCAGCCACACCACGCCAGGAUGUGCAAGGCAGAGCUGCAAUCAAGGGCUUUAAAAUAAAGCAGCGCUCUUUCCUAGGACGUACACCUUCUGCCUCAGGGUUCGAGAGACACUGUGGCCGUGUACUUCCCCGCUGCUUGUUACUGCGGAAGCGCCUGUACGGACCUGCACACCUGGCCUGCUUAUCACCCAGGACACACGACGGGGACCACUUCACCUCCUGCGCUUCCCCAAGGAAUUCUCUGGAUGUGUUCAGAGAGGUUCUACCUUUGGUCGCGUGGAGACCUCAA